UGGAAAAUGUUAUAAAAAACUCAAAUUUUGAAGCGCUCUCACACUGGAAUAAGUUGAACAUCCCUUUAUUCCUGUCGAAACUAUUAGUACCCGCAAUGAGGAGGUAUAUCGUUUUAUCUGACAGCGUGAGGUUUAUGAACUUCAUUUCUAAUUUUGUCUUGUGGUAUAUUCUUCGAUGAUCGCUCGGUUACAACGGAUAAAACGACUUCUGAGUGGU